rnacentral:rRNA from 1 species
GUCUAUGGCCAUGCUACCCUGAACAAGCCUGAUCUCGUUUGAUCUCGGAAGCUAAGCAGUCGGGCUUGGUUAGUACUUGGAUGGGAGACCACCUAGGAAGACCAGGUGCUGUAGGCG